AUACUUACCUGGUAGUGGGGACACCGUGAUCAAGAAGGUGGUUUCCCCAGGGCGUGGCUCACUCAUUGCACUUGGGGUGUGCUGACCCCUGCGAUUUCCCCGAAUGUGGGAAACUCGACUGCAUAAUUUGUGGUAGUGGGGGGACUGCGUUCGAGCUCUGCCCUG